rnacentral:rRNA from 1 species
GACGAACGCUGGCGGCGUGCUUAACACAUGCAAGUCGAGCGGUAAGGCCCUUUCGGGGGUACGACGAGCGGCGAACGGGUGAGUAACACGUGGGUGACCUGCCCUUAGCUCUGGGAUAAGCCUGGGAAACUGGGUCUAAUACCGGAUAUGACUCCAUGACGCAUGUUGUGGGGUGGAAAGCCUUGUGCGGCUAGGGAUGGGCCCGCGCCUAUCAGCUUGUUGGUGGGGUGAUGGCCACCAAGGCGACGACGGGUAGCCGGCCUGAGAGGGCGACCGGCCACACUGGGAUUGAGACACGGCCCAGACUCCUACGGGAGGCAGCAGUGGGGAAUCUUGCGCAAUGGGCGAAAGCCUGACGCAGCGACGCCGCGUGGGGGA